UUUUUUUUUUUUUUUUUUUUUUUUUAAGUGCUAUCAGAUGUCAUUAGGGUUUAGCUGAAUCUCUUAAUGUGCUGCUGGAAAAUGAUUAGAUCCAAGAUGCAUAAAAACAAAAGUAGGAAAGUACUCUGGAAGCUCUGCAUGAUUUUACUUCUCUCAGUUUUUAUUAUUCAACUGUCUUUGAUCAAAAGACAGAAAGCUCAACAAGCAUAAACUUUUAUAGAAAUCUCUACAGGGACAUAAACUUCAUAUAGCAUAAAGUUUUAAACACACAUCUGUUUCGAGUAUAUGGAGAAAAGAAAGAAAACAUUCAGGAACUUUUUUAAUGGUUUGAGAAAAUGAAUCAUUCUUCUGUCUCCCAGAACUAGUCAAACAGGAUUUGCAUAGGCUUUUGUCUGCAUAGUUGAUACACCGUGAUGAAAUAAAUAUCUAAAUAAGAGUCUUUAAGAAGCAAGAGAAGAAAAAUGGUGAAAAAGACUGUUAAGGAGUAUGGUGUGUGACUUCAAACCUACCAAAUACUAGCCUGAAAUACUGUAAAACUUGACACCUCCCUUUGUUUUUAGUUUGACUUUAAGCCUUACGGUUUAAAGCUGCCACAUACUAAGAACCUAGUAUACAAUGAAGCCACAAACAAAACUCUUUGCUUACUGAGGCUCUUGGUCAGCUCCUGAAUCAAAUCUUGUCAGCCAGUCUGUGACGGCGGACUCACUGCCCUUUGUUGCUGAUGAUACUAAAUUGGCUAAUGAUACAGAGGUGAUGUUCUUUGUCUUUGUUACAGACUUAUUGCUGACUUUGGUGGCACUUUCAAUUCUACCUUCAGCUAUGAUGAUAACAGAAGUUAGCAGGUGAUGGAGAACUUGUUUCAGUUAAGCCUUAACCAUACAGACAUCCAUAUCAUCUGUAUCUGCCUCUAUAUUUUAGCAAAGUAGAAAUAACUAAUUAAAAUUAAAUUAUUGCUUAUUAAUAUAUUAUUUAUUAUUUAUUUAAUUAAAAUAUUAUUAAAUAUGAAAAAUUAAAUUUUAAGCACAUUCUAUCACCCUGUCUGGGUCUUCUUCAGCAUUUUUGAGACAUAUUCAUAUCUGAAGUAUUUCUUGUUGAAUGCCAUGAUUCAAAAGACACUUAGUUUGAGCAUGAAACUCUGAAGAUCUUUUUUAUUAUUAUUUUUAUUUUUCCUGAGAUAUUAAGGCUCUCCAAGCCAAUCAGGAACUGCUAUACUCUUUUGGGCUGACUUGUUAAUGAUGAGUAUCAGCUGAGUCAAAAGAGAGAAGAAUAAACUUUGCAUCUGAAGAUUGCUAAAAUAUUUUCUCAUUGUGAAGAAUGAUCUGAGUACUUGGAUCCUCCAUUUGGAUCCUCCCAAUAUUAGGGGAAAAAAAGAAACUGAAGUUCCAGACACCUAUAGUUUUAUUUCUUCCACAUUAAAACUAGUUAUCCUAGUUAUCAUUAUUUGCAAAGUAGAUACAGGAGAAAGUGGAAAGCAAAGUGGCUGCUAAGAAAAAACACUGAAAAAUCCAUCAGUGGUAAGUAAAUUAUUAUUGUACACUUAUACAUACAAUUAAUGUACAACAUGCUGUGGAAUGGAACCACUUCUGUUUCUGUUGGAGAAUUUGCAAAUCAUCUAAGUUUAUUCGUUUUGGUUUUACACUUGGACAAGACAUUGGCUGACAACUUUUUAAUUAUGUUUAUUUCAUAUAGUUCUAAGAAUUAUGAAAUCUCUACAUUCCUAACUAGUCAGAAAGCUCAAAAACUUUCUGCUCUACAUAUUUUAUAAAUCCUUUAGACACAGGAUCUAUGCUAUGGAAUUCUUGUUGUGCCUUGCAAAACACUGCAUAGAUAUGGCAUCUAGCCAGUACUGUAGUCAUAAUACAUUGUCUGAUGGAGAAAAAUGCAAUGAUGUAAAACAAAGUCACUUACAAGGAUCCAAUCCACACAACCUUGACAUGGACCUUUAAGUGAAAAUCAGUGCAGAGCUAUUUCUGAAGAGCUUGAAUUUGUCCUUUUCCAUAUGCUGAUGUCUCAAAUGAUUAGAGGAAUUGUGAAGGAGAAAGGGAGAACAAAAACAUAAUCCAGAUUUUUUGCUUUCAUGACAAUAGUAUCGCUUAUUUCUAUAUCUGCUGCUUGGGUGAUGCUGUUUAGGAGAAAAUUCUGUGCUGAUACAGGCUUUUGAUAAUUACAUAUAAUGCUGAUGCUUAUACAAGCCUCCCCCAACCUUGCUAUUGAAAGUUUUUAAAAUUCGUAAGUCCAAUAAACAUUUUUUUUUUCAGAAUAUUACAGCAUUUUGUCUUUGCUGUUUUCAACAGAAAAGAAACUACAGAUAAAAAAAAAAUCAUAAGAAGCUUGAGUUUGAACAAAGGUCAUGAAUCUCCCCUUAAAUCAUGCAUGAAGAGGAGUUUAACACCAACUAAUUUGUAAAAUGUGGUGCAUAUGCUGACAUAUGCAAUCAGUUUUGUAAUAUAGCAUGCUUUCCAUCAUUUAGUAUGCAUACUUCACAGGUACAUGGAUACUUCAGAAUGAACACAAGGGUUUAUGUGUCCCCAGACAGCAGUAAGCAGUCAUCAGAUUGCUGAAAAUGGCAAAUGUUCCCAAGUUAAUGCUGUACAUAUAUGAAAAUCAUAACUUUGAUCUAUGUGAAGAUUUUACACUACAAUUACUGACUUAGGCUUUGUUCAAGGCCAAAAAGAUCAGUACUUGUCUCUCUUCUAAGUGCACACAACAUAUUGGAACAUGCAAGAUGACAGUUGAAGACUUUUGUAGGGCACUUGAAAAUAUUGAAAAAAUGCAUUUUACUUUCAUUUAAUAACUGAAGGGGAAUAUAAAAGAUAGAGGAGAAAGUAAAACCCAAUCUACUGAUUUGCAAAAGUAACAAGGGAUUUCUAAUGGCAUAAAAUGUAGCUUCUUCUGCUUUAAAAAACCUGAUUUAUACAGUCUAAGGUUUUAGAUGCAUGAUAGCAAGCCCUACUCCUCGUAAGAAUGAAAUUGUUGGUUAUUUACAAGGUUUUCCAAUGAAAAAACUGCCUGUGAAUUCAUUCCGGCCUUGUUUAUUGAUUUUUUUUUAGGUCUCUAGGGAAUGUUACAAACUUACCAGAAAUUUCUAUUUCCGAUGUACACCGAAAGACAGAACUGCUAAUAUAUACAUAUUUAAUAUACAAGUGUAUCUGCCUAUUUUUUGAUUUUAAAACAAGCUUAAACAGUACAACGUAUGUCUUCAUGACAUAAUUUUUCCUCUGAUGAGGUUAAGUACCCUGUGUGCUUUAAGUUCCUUGCUGUAGGAAGUAGACAAGGAAGAUUUUUUUUCAAAGCAGAUUUGUACUGUGAAAUCCUCUCUAGCAGUGCUGGACUAAUACUUUGUCUGUCUGAAAGCCAAUGGGGAGAGUUUUCUAUACAUUGUACAUCUUGGACAACUUCCACUAUUUGAAUUUUGGAUAGUGUCACUACGAGAUUCUAAGAAUUUAACAUUUAUUUAGUUAAAUAAAAUGGGAACUAUAGAUCAACACAUUAUUUAUAAUCUAAUAACCCAGGCUAAUUUUAGAAGCUGAGCUAUAUAUGCCUCAGGCAAGCAAUUGCUAAAACUUGCUUGAAAAGCCUUGAUAUCUGAUAAUCUUUCUGAUGAUAGCCACACUUUUAAUCUGAAAAGUCAUAAAUGGAUAUUCUCAGAUAAUUUGAAAAACACAUCAAAGCAAAUUAAUGGCUUUUGUUCAAAUAGAUGUGAAAAAAAUCUUUGAUCUAUAUUGGCUUCAGACAACAGCAUGUAAAAUGCACAAGCUUUUUUUUUUUUUUUUUUUUUUUUUUUUUUUUCCAACUAAUCCAGGUGGUGGGAGGCUUUCAAUUUUUCCAUUAAAUUUCCGACUAUGGUUUGAAUGAAAUAGGAUUGACUAGGCAUUACUUUAAACAAGAAUGAAUGGAGGAAAAAAAAAUAAAGGGAGCUUGUACUUCAUUUGUUCAGUGAACUUUCAACUUGGGUUAUCUUUUGUGUUAGUAAGUAUUAGAUUCUAAGCUGAAGUAGUGAAUCUCAUCAUUCUCACAGAAUGAAUGAGGUAAGAAGGGACCUCUGGAAGUCAUCCAGUCCACACCCCUGGCACCCCUGGCAACUUGGAGGAGGUUGCCCAGGACCAUGUCCAAGUAGCUUUAGAAGAUCACCAAGGAGAGAGAAUCCAUAACCUCUCUGGGCAACCUGUGCCAGUGGUCUAUCACCUAGAGAAAGGCAAAUUUUACUUUGCCAAAGAAGAAAAAAAAAAAAAAUCACAAGAUUUUUAAGUUUUACAUACCUUUAUUUUAUAGCAAAAUCAACAUUUUUUUUUUUUUUUUUAAUUCAACAAGAAAGAGAAAUCCAGAACAUCCAAUUACAUUCAUAAUUAUAAUAUUCAAGUGUUUUGUUGUCUGACAUGAUUCAUACUAUGGAUCCAAAUAUGAUUUUUUCUUGUACUUCAUAAAAGUUCUUGGAUUAGCAAAUUUGUGAUUAUAUUUAAGCAAAAUUAAUAUACUUUUCUUGAAUAAUCUGGAAUUAAUAUACCUAUCUGGUAUAUUUUGAUGAAGAGAUUUAAGACCUGAUUUUUUUAUAUCUGAAAUUAAUUAGUAUAAAUAUUAUCAACAGGUUAUUGAGUUGCAUACAGUUAAAUCUAAGUGGCUGAACAGUGUUGCAGAAAUGCAUCUCAUAAAAUAGUUGACGUAGAAAUGUUUACCUACAUUAAUGCAAAGGCAAAAUUUUUUUCCAGCUCAAAACUUAGCUUAAAUUAAUCUAUUCCACUAGCUUAGUGGGAGGACCAUUAUGUCACUUUCUUUUUUUUUCCAUUCUUGAUCAC